GCAUGAUUGAGCAUCGUGUCUUUCCUGGCGUCAAAAUUUUUGUAGUAGACAGAUUUGUAUACCAAAUUGUUCGAAUUUUUUUUAAAUUCUACCCUCCUGUCUUACUCUGUCAAGAGCAUCUUCGCAGCAAGUUUUCUUUUUCUUCUUUUCCAAGUAUUGUCGGAAAAAGUACAGAGAUCACGAACAAUGGAAUGGCGCCAAGUGUACCGGCGAUUUCUUCGCGAAGAAGCGCCGCUCUCCAAAUCAGAACAUCGGCGAUACUAAAGGACGCGGAAGGAAGAGAUGGAUUCGGAAUGAGAAAUAUUCCAGUAAAAGUAUCCCGGAUCUAUGCCCGCACCGCUGUCGUCCCCAUUUUGCUGUGUGUGCUUUUCCCAACUAAAUUUCUAUAUAUAUUUCUGCUCGAUCCCUAACGUUCGCCCUUCGUGAUUCGUUUUGCAGACGCAGAAACAGAAGCUGGCUCUCCUGCACUUGGCUAUCUGUCACGCUGCGUCCUAUACUCCCAGCGGCAAGGAUUUUUGCGGCCCGUUGGCUGUCUUGCCGCGGGUGGCACCCGCAUCUGUGACCACCGUGACCGCCCCAUCGAUAACCCGCUCGCUGCCCCCUUCGUUCUGUUUCCAGCGCCCACUGCCCGCACAGGUGUCAAAGCCAACUGUUCAGAGAAAGCGGCCCUUUUCCCUUUGGUGCACGGAAGGAAGAAAGCAAAAUGAACUCUCGCAAGAAGCUGACUGUGCUCUGCGUCGGACAGUGCUGCGACACGUAGCCUCCGCGAGCCGCUGCAGGGCUCCGCUCUCGGCGCAGUGUUCGCCGAUGUGGUUGAAUCGCUCUUCAGCCGCGACUCAGCUCAAUGUACGGUUUAUGAAGCCUGUUAAAAAGAGAAUCAAAUAUAAGAAUGCUAUAUACACAUACAGAAAUAACAUAUAUAUGUAUAUACAAUAUAUAUUACAUAUCUACAUCUACAAGCGUCAGUUACCCCGCACUUGCCCUUCGCCCGUGUGCACGAGCCACAACUUUCCUUGUACAAAUACCGAUGUCGUUGAUGUACGUUUGUUGCAUCGUUGGAUCGUUGGAUCACCCGGCCCCUCUUUCACGGUCUAAAUGGCCGAUUUCAGACGGUGUAUAGAUAUAUCACGUGUGUGUAUAUGUGCAUGUUAGUUCGUGGAUAUUUUUUGUUCACCUGUUGAGAAACGUAAGCUGUAAAAGUGAUAUUUGCGUAAUGUGCACACAAAGGUACGGCGCUGUCGAUUUUGUUAAUGUUUUGAGAAAAAAAAAAACAUCAUUACUGUUUUGUGGGAACGUGCCUUACGCCUUUGUUUUGCUGUUUCACCAUUUUAUCUCCUUGCUGUGUAAAUAUUAAAAAAAAGUGUGUUGAUAUCAAUAAAGUAUACUUUUCGCACCG
rnacentral:lncRNA from 1 species